rnacentral:lncRNA from 13 species
GCCAAGGGACUGGGAGAAGAAAGCCAUCUGUUUGGCUGGGUGACCCAGGAGCCUUUGGUGAGCUGUGGACAGAGGAGGGGCUGGUGCGGUUCAUGCCUGUGCAGGAUUCCUCCAGUGCUAGGCCCAGGUGAAGGGGAAGGGGCACAGCAUGUGUGAGGCAGGGAGCCAGGUAGGAGCUGCCCCAGUCUUCCGCGGAAGCCACAGACAUAGCUGGAACCUGCUAGUCUCAGAAGAGAGAAACAGCAUCCCGGUGAAGGUAACGUGGCUGCAGAAGAGGCCGGUGCGGUGAGGCGGGUAAGCCCUCCCGGGCCGGGCGCCAGGCCCAGCACUGCCACUCCAUAAUCAUCAGUGAGCUCUAAUGGACCACUUAAAAGGUGCCAGGCCCCAUGCCAAGCGUCUUCCAUGAGCCACCUCAUCCAGACCUCCCGAAUUCCCUGUGAAACAGGCUCCAGUCUUAUCACAACGUUGCAGAUGAAGCAGCUGGGUCUCAGACAGAGCCACCUGCCCAGAGAAACACAGCAAACCAGAAACCAGAGGCAUCACAGCAGAACCUUAUCCAGCACUCCCUCUGUGCCCACCCAGGUGCCCAGCAUGUACCAAUCCAUUUACUGGUCACAUCCAUCUUUAAAGCGCGUUACUGCGAACGCUGCAGAGAGUACAAACCAUGUGAUGACCAGCCCGUGUGAUUAUUCCCAUGUGCAGGUCCAUAUGGCCCCUGCGUCCCACAGCCCGGCAGCAGAAGAGCCUUCCAUCAGUAUCCAGAGGGUGCAGCCUCCAGCCUCGCUUUCACAUGGCCACAGCCCCACUUCCAGAUGGAAACCCAAAGCUGUGGCCCUCCUGAAGGCUGGCCCGGCCCUGCCAGCCCCUCCGUGGUUCCCAGCCUCUCCAGCGCACUGAGCAG